rnacentral:rRNA from 1 species
CUGAUGCAAGGUUAAGCAGCGAAUGUGGAGCCGUAGCGAAAGCGAGUCUGAAUAGGGCGUUGAGUAUUUGGUCGUAGACCCGAAACCAGGUGAUCUACCCUUGGUCAGGUUGAAGUUCAGGUAACACUGAAUGGAGGACCGAACCGACUUACGUUGAAAAGUGAGCGGAUGAACUGAGGGUAGCGGAGAAAUUCCAAUCGAACUUGGAGAUAGCUGGUUCUCUCCGAAAUAGCUUUAGGGCUAGCCUCAAGUGAUGAUUAUUGGAGGUAGAGCACUGUUUGGACGAGGGGCCC